rnacentral:rRNA from 1 species
GAGUGCGAUCAUAACAGCACUAAUGCACCGGAUCCCAUCAGAACUCUGCAGUUAAGCGUGCUUGGGCGAGAUUAGUACUAGGAUGGGUGACUUGGUGAGAAAACUUCGUGUUGCACCCC